CCACUGUACGCUAGGUUGCUAGGAGACUGGACAGCCAAAGAAACAAUGCCCUUUCCUGUGACCACUAUCAAGAACUGCUCAGGAUUCCUGCCAGCCUGCUAGCCUUUAUCGUUCAGUCAUUUUAGACCUCAAAAAGAACAUUCCAUCAAGGGAUCAGGUUCUAUCAUCUCACUGGAAUGCAAUGUAAGACCCCAGAAACUCUAGUACAAAGAAAUUUACUAUGGCUCAGAUUAAUAAUAGAUAGCACUUGAAUGUGUGCCCCAGUUGUGUUCCCUCUCUGCUAAGGAUAGGACAAAUGAAAAUAAAUUGCAAAUUCAGCAGGGAGAUUCAGACCAAACAUAAGGAAGAACUUCUGCCAUUAAGGUCAUAGAAGUUGUGAAGUUUGCCCCUUGGGAAGAGUUGUUAAGAUUAGCCUGAAAGAGCAUAUUUGAAGGAUGAAGAUGCAGCCCUCACUGGCAAUGGAGGACAAGGUGAUAUGAUUUCCUAGGCUUUCUUCAAGACCCAAGAUUCUCCUAGUUGUGGAAAAGUGACUCUGUGCAUUACUCACCACUAUUAAGAUUGUUAUUCAUGAUCAGGCCUGAGUGAAAGCCAGGCUACUCUUACAUAACAAAGGCAGAUUCUCAGUGUUGGAAGAUAACUGAGGAGCCAUUCAUUUCAUCCCUCUUCUUUCACCAGUGAAAAAUCAGAGACACAGAGCAUUCAUUGCCACAUGGCCAGCAGAAGAGCUGGGCCUAGGACCAGGACCCCUCAGGCUCCCUGUGCUGUGUGCUGUACUACACCACGUUUUCACUAAUAAUAUAGGAAGCCAGUUGAGUUGUUCCUCAUGCUUUCCCCACGAAGCUGCAUCUGAAGGACUUCCUCACCCCCCCGCUGUGACCACAAGUUAUGCCUCACAGAUUCAUUUCCUUAUGAAUGACUUCAGGAAGCCAGCAUUUUUAAUAAAUAGGAAGUAAAUUAUAUUUAAUGACUAAAUUCUCACCUAAAGUUGAUACUAAUAUUACGAUAACUCUCUUGUGCCCUAUUUUGGUCUUUUAAACUUCUUUGCUGUACAUUUCAGAAAAUCAGAAUUUCAGUAGACUCCUCGUGCAGUCUGAGAAGGCAAUUUCCUACCUGGUUUGACUUAAGGGGCUGCAGAAAACAUUCUUAUCCCACAUAUUUCUUCUGCUGAUCAGUCAGCAACUGAAAUUCCAACUAAUGGAUUCCAUUCUUCCAGUUAAGACAUCAUCUCCAGAAAACUGUGCUAGUUGGCAUCCAGCAGUGCCCAAGUAUUAUUUAACCCAUUAGAACCUGUGACUGCAUCAGCUUUAUAUCCUGGACCUCAGCCUGGAGCAAAGGAGAGCUACACUUGGAUACUAAACACAAGUGGUCUGGAUAGAUUACGCUGGGGAAAGAAGCCUGGAGUGGGCAGUACAGUGGGAGAACAAGGAGAGAAUGGAGUUGCAGCAGACUGCUCAGGAAUUGUACAUCACCAGUAGCUUCUGUCUCAGCUAAGUGUGGGAGACUGAUACUGAUGAGCCAUUAACAAUGGUGGAGAUUCUGAAUCACUGAAGCACUUGAUAAAAGAAAUGUCGUGGGUGAUGUGAAAAUCUACAUAUGCCCAUGAGAGUAUAUUGAGUUUGUAAGUGUUGUUGCUUAGUGUGUCACAGAGAAGUUUAUGAGAAACUAUUUUGGAGUAAGAAACAACACAGAAGAACACAGUUUCAGCCUGAAAUGGCUUAUUUAGCCACUGACCAUCAGAAACAAUUACUUUUUCCUUAACCUAGAUUUGUAAUAGCAGGAUGCAUUGAAUUCCUUCAUUGAAGUGAAACCUUAGCAAAUCUUUAAGUAGUACUCUAAAGUGACAAAAGGUGUUUACAUUUACUAAUGUAAAUUUCUUGUGGAGAUAAAGUUUUUAUUCUUCUUGAGUCACAAGACUGCUCAAGAGGGAACCAUCGUUUUUUCUACACUGCUCUGUUCUAAAUGUUUGUUCCCCCAAUAUUCAUAUGUUGAAAUUCUAACCCCCAAGGAGAUAGUAUUAGGAGGUGGGGCCUUCGGGACAUGAUAAGGUCAUGAGGAUGAAGCCCUCAAGAAUAAGAUUCAUUGCCUUAUAAAGAAAAACCAGAAAGAUCCCUCAUUUCUUCAAUCAUAAGAAGACACAUGAGCAAGAAGACGGCCAGCUAUGAAGCAGGUCGUGGGCCCUCGCCAGACACGGAAUCUGCCAACACUUUGAUCUUGGAUUUCCUAGCCUGCAGAACUGUGAGAAAUAAAUUUCUUUUCUUUAUAAUCCA